AGAAUUGUCCUUUAUCUUACUAUUUCUUUUCUUUUUGAUAAAAUUUUAAAAAUUCUUUCUUUGUUUCUUUCUUUUUUUUAGGUGUUUUGAGAAAGAGAAAGAGAGAGAGAGAAUGCGAGCUGGGGGAAGGGUAGAGAGAAAGGGAGACACAGAAUUCAAAGCACGCUCCAGGCUCUGAGCUGUCAGCACAGAGCCCACCGUGGGACUCAAACACAUGAACUGUGAGAUCAUGACCUGAGCUGAAGUCAGAUGCUUAACCGACUGAGCCACCCGGGCACCCCUUCAUCUUACUGUUUCUAACCAUGACUUGGGGAUGACUCCAUGUUUGGGAAUAUUGUGUGGGCCGCCUGUUGGGAUGCAAGGCAUGUUGGUCUAACUCUUGGGAAAUGACUUGUCUGGGAGGCCAGCUGACACCAGCAAAUAUAAAGUUGAAGGGAAACAUCAACGGCUACCACCAAUCAUCCUCGCCGGCCUUCUGAUUCUCGGGAUGGACGUCACCUUCUCGUCAUCCUCUGCUGCCCUGUGCGCGUAGCUGCCUCGGCCACCUCGUCUUCCCCUCCAUCCUCUUGCUCCCGCGUCUCCCUCACUGCAGGCCUCCUGCGCCCACCUUCCUCUGAGCGCUCCCACCGGCAGGUGCUUCCCUUCUGCUCUGCCUCCCGCACAACCUCCCUCUCCCCUAAGUGCGCCGUGGUCAUCUCCGAGCUGGUGCCCACGGCCGUGCCUGACACCGCGGGGCACGCGGAUUAA
rnacentral:lncRNA from 1 species